rnacentral:rRNA from 1 species
GAUGAACGCUGGCGGCGUGCCUAAUACAUGCAAGUCGAGCGAACAGACGAGGAGCUUGCUCCUCUGACGUUAGCGGCGGACGGGUGAGUAACACGUGGAUAACCUACCUAUAAGACUGGGAUAACUUCGGGAAACCGGAGCUAAUACCGGAUAAUAUAUUGAACCGCAUGGUUCAAUAGUGAAAGACGGUUUUGCUGUCACUUAUAGACGGAUCCGCGCCGCAUUAGCUAGUUGGUAAGGUAACGGCUUACCAAGGCAACGAUGCGUAGCCGACCUGAGAGGGUGAUCGGCCACACUGGAACUGAGACACGGUCCAAACUCCUACGGGAGGCAGCAGUAGGGAAUCUUCCGCAAUGGGCGAAAGCUUGACGGAGCAACGCCGCGUGAGUGAUGAAGGUCUUCGGAUCGUAAAACUCUGUUAUUAGGGAAGAACAAAUGUGUAAGUAACUAUGCACGUCUUGACGGUACCUAAUCAGAAAGCCACGGCUAACUACGUG